AUUGAACGCUGGCGGCAGGCCUAACACAUGCAAGUCGAACGAGUGGCGGACGGGUGAGUAAUGUCUGGGAAACUGCGCGAUGGAGGGGGGUAACUACUGGAAACGGUAGCUAAUACCGCAUACCAUCGGAUGUGCCCAGAUGGGCGUAGCGAGUAGGUGGGGGAAAGGCGCCACUAGGCGACGAUCCCUAGCUGGUCUGAGAGGAUGACCAGCCAGACUGGAACUGAGACACGGUCCAGACUCCUACGGGAGGCAGCAGUGGGGAAUAUUGCACAAUGGGCGCAAGCCUGAUGCAGCCAUGCCGCGUGUAUGAAGAAGGCCUUCGGGUUGUAAAGUACUUUCAGCGGGGAGGCGUUACUCGCAGAAGAAGCACCGGCUAACUCCGUGCCAGCAGCCGCGGUAAUAC
rnacentral:rRNA from 1 species